rnacentral:rRNA from 1 species
GACGAACGCUGGCGGCGUGCUUAACACAUGCAAGUCGAACGGAAAGGCCCUGCUUUUGUGGGGUGCUCGAGUGGCGAACGGGUGAGUAACACGUGAGUAACCUGCCCUUGACUUUGGGAUAACUUCAGGAAACUGGGGCUAAUACCGGAUAGGAGCUCCUGCUGCAUGGUGGGGGUUGGAAAGUUUCGGCGGUUGGGGAUGGACUCGCGGCUUAUCAGCUUGUUGGUGGGGUAGUGGCUUACCAAGGCUUUGACGGGUAGCCGGCCUGGGAGGGUGAACGGGAACAUUGGGACUGAGAUACGGCCCAGACUCCUACGGGAGGCAGCAGUGGGGAAUAUUGCACAAUGGGAGGAAGCCUGAUGCAGAAACGCCGCGUGCGGGAUGACGGCCUUCGGGUUGUAAACCGCUUUCGCCUGUGACGAAGCGUGAGUGACGGUAAUGGGUAAAGAAGCACCGGCUAACUACGUG